rnacentral:rRNA from 1 species
GACGAACGCUGGCGGCGUGCUUAACACAUGCCAGUCGAACGGAAAGGCCCUGCUUUUGUGGGGUGCUCGAGUGGCGAACGGGUGAGUAACACGUGAGUAACCUGCCCUUGACUUUGUGAUAACUUCAGGAAACUGGGGCUAAUACCGGAUAGGAGCUCCUUCUGCAUGGUGGGGGUUGGAAAGUUUCGGCGGUUGGGGAUGGACUCGCGGCUUAUCAGCUUGUUGGUGGGGUAGUGGCUUACCAAGGCUUUGACGGGUAGCCGGCCUGAGAGGGUGACCGGCCACAUUGGGACUGAGAUACGGCCCAGACUCCUACGGGAGGCAGCAGUGGGGAAUAUUGCACAAUGGGCGGAAGCCUGAUGCAGCAACGCCGCGUGCGGGAUGACGGCCUUCGGGUUGUAAACCGCUUUCGCCUGUGACGAAGCGUGAGUGACGGUAAUGGGUAAAGAAGCACCGGCUAACUACGUG